CUUGUAGAUGCAGUGGACUUGAAGUGAAGGCGUUUACAGAGGGCGGCGGAUUUAUGCGUGUGAGUGACAGUCUGUGCGCGUGCUUGUGAGUGUGAGAGUGUGUGUCUGCGGGAUAUUACCCGAGUUUGCGUUUGGUAGUGCUCUCACAGCCCUUUAGAAACAAGCUCUUCCACCCGGGACAGCGUCGGAAUUGGGAGUGAGAACCCCAUUAAACCAAGCAAUCCCAGAUUGCUACAGAAGAGAGCACUUAGCUUCCAGAAAGAAUUCUCCUGUGACGAAAAGGACGACCCAGCCAAAAGCACCAAGGAUAUAGAUGUUAGUCUCUUGGCCAAUCUCCCUAAAGUCUCUGAAUUGAGGAAACUAUUUGAGGGGAUUACCA
rnacentral:lncRNA from 1 species